rnacentral:lncRNA from 1 species
GAAGAUAGAGUCUCCUUAGAAGGGGGAUGGUGGAAAGCAACCACAUACUGCUGUGUGUACCUUUUCCUAUGCCACAUAAUUCCAGUUGUGUUUUUUACUUUAGUUCACAUUGUAUCAGGAAUGCUUUUUUUUUUUUUUUUUUUGCAUUGGCCUAAAUUUCAUAAUCAUUAUGGCAGGAAAGUAAUCAUCUUCCACCCACGAGAUGUUCACAUCCUCAUCCUGGAACCUGUGAAUACAUUACCUUAUAUGGUAAAAAAAGACUUUUUGCAAAUGUGGUUCGAUUAGGCAUUUAUGUUAGUCAGAUUUCCAUUACCAUAACAAGUAGUUUAGAUAAUGAACUGACAAAGAGAAAAGUGUUAUCUUGAUUCACAGUUUAUAGAGAUAUCAGUCCAUGGACAGUUGGCUCUGUUUCUUUAGAACCCGUAAUGAGGGAGCACAAUAUGGCAGAGGUGUGAGGUAGCCCUGAACCACUCACCUUGUGGCCAGGUAGCAAAGGAGAGCAAGGAGGCCAGGGUCCUACUAUAGUCUUCAAAGGCAUACCUCCAGUGACCUGGAAACCUCCACUAACCUCCACCUCACACUGAUUCCACCAUUUUACAAUGGAGCCACUCUGGGACCAAGCCUUCACCACAUGGAGUUUGGAGGGACAUUAAAGACCCAAACUCUAGCAGGCAUCCUGAGAUGGAGAGAUUAUUCUGGAUUUUCUGAAUGGGCUUGAUGUAAUUUAAAAGGUCCUUACAAGGGAAAGGAGGAGGCAGAAGACUCUAAGGAGAUGUGACAAUGGAGGCAGAGGUCAGAGUGACACAUGGACCAAGAGCCGAGGACCUGAGGCAACAUCUGAAAACUGGAAAUGACAAGGAAAUCGAUUAUGUCCUACAGCUUCUAGAAGGAACACAGCCCUACUGACCAGUUUUGGAUUUCUGACCUACAGAAUUAAAGAUAAUAAAUUUGUAUUGUUUUAAGCCAUAAAUCUGUGGUCAUUUGCUAUAGUAACAAUGGUAAGGGAAUACAAUUAACAUUUAAAAAAAAUUUU